rnacentral:rRNA from 1 species
AUUACUGAGUUUACGCUCUAUAACCCUUUGUGAACAUACCUAUAACUGUUGCUUCGGCGGGUAGGGUCUCCGCGACCCUCCCGGCCUCCCGCCUCCGGGCGGGUCGGCGCCCGCCGGAGGAUAACCAAACUCUGAUUUAACGACGUUUCUUCUGAGUGGUACAAGCAAAUAAUCAAAACUUUUAACAACGGAUCUCUUGGUUCUGGCAUCGAUGAAGAACGCAGCGAAAUGCGAUAAGUAAUGUGAAUUGCAGAAUUCAGUGAAUCAUCGAAUCUUUGAACGCACAUUGCGCCCGCCAGCAUUCUGGCGGGCAUGCCUGUUCGAGCAGUCAUUUCAACCCUCAAGCUCUGCUUGGUGUUGGGGCCCUACAGCUGAUGUAGGCCCUCAAAGGUAGUGGCGGACCCUCCCGGAGCCUCCUUUGCGUAGUAACUUUACGUCUCGCACUGGGAUCCGGAGGGACUCUUGCCGUAAAACCCCCCAAUUUUCCAAAGGUUGACCUCGGAUCAGGUAGGAAUACCCGCUGAACUUAAGCAUAU